rnacentral:rRNA from 1 species
AUUGAACGCUGGCGGAAUGCUUUACACUUGCAAGUCGAACGGCAGCACGGACUUCGGUCUGGUGGCGAGUGGCGAACGGGUGAGUAAUGUAUCGGAACGUGCCCAGUCGUGUGGGAUAACGUAGUGAAAAUUACGCUAAUACCGCAUACGAUCUAUGGAUGAAAGCGGGGGAUCGCAAGACCUCGCGCGAUUGGAGCGGCCGAUAUCAGAUUAGGUAGUUGGUGGGGUAAAGGCCCACCAAGCCAACGAUCUGUAGCUGGUCUGAGAGGACGAUCAGCCACACUGGAACUGAGACACGGUCCAGACUCCUACGGGAGGCAGCAGGUGGGAAUUUUGGACAAUGGGCGAAAGCCUGAUCCAGCCAUUCCGCGUGCAGGAUGAAGGCCCUCGGGUUGUAAACUGCUUUUGUACAGAACGAAAAGGUUUCUACUAAUACUAGGAGCUCAUGACGGUACUGUAAGAAUAAGCACCGGCUAACUACGUGCCAGCCGCCGCGGUAA